UAGUAACGGCGAGUGAAGCGGGAAGAGCUCAAGCUUAAAAUCUCCGUGCAAGUUUUGCGCGGGUAAUUGUAGUCUAUAGAGGCGUGGUCAGCGUGAGCACUUGGGGCAAGUUCCUUGGAAGAGGACAGCAUGGAGGGUGAUACUCCCGUUCAUCCCUGAGUUGCUCGUGCGUACGACCCGUUUUCUUUGAGUCGCGUUGUUUGGGAAUGCAGCGCAAAGUAGGUGGUAAAUUCCAUCUAAAGCUAAAUAUUGGUGCGAGACCGAUAGCGAACAAGUACCGUGAGGGAAAGAUGAAAAGAACUUUGAAAAGAGAGUUAAAGAGUACCUGAAACUGCUGAAAGGGAACCGAAUCGUUUCCAGUGUCUAUAAUCUGUGGCAUAUUUCAUUGGCGAGUGUGUGCGUGCGUGUGCUGUGGCAGUGGCUUUUUUGGCUGCGCUCGGUGUGUGUGCUGUGUGUGCUUGCUGGUGCCCUGUGCUGCGGUGGGACGUCAAGGUCAGUUCGUAUGCUGCGGGAAAUGGCUGCCGAGGAGGUAGGGCUUACGCUUGCGUUUGUCUGUUAUAUCUUGGUGGACGAGUAGUCGCGGUUGGGACUGAGGUGCCUACAACGUGCUUUUGAGUGUGUCUGUGUCUCCGUGUGCGCCGUGUGCGGAUAGCUUGCUAUGCGUGUGUGGUUGUGUGUGGAUUGAUGCGGGCUUUAACUUGUUGCCGUUC
rnacentral:rRNA from 1 species